CCUACGGGCGGCAGCAGUGAGGAAUAUUGGUCAAUGGACGAGAGUCUGAACCAGCCAAGUAGCGUGAAGGAUGACUGCCCUAUGGGUUGUAAACUUCUUUUAUAAAGGAAUAAAACGAGGCACGUGUGCCUUUUUGUAUGUACUUUAUGAAUAAGGAUCGGCUAACUCCGUGCCAGCAGCCGCGGUAAUACGGAGGAUCCGAGCGUUAUCCGGAUUUAUUGGGUUUAAAGGGAGCGUAGAUGGGUUGUUAAGUCAGUUGUGAAAGUUUGCGGCUCAACCGUAAAAUUGCAAUUGAUACUGGCAGUCUUGAGUACAGUUGAGGUAGGCGGAAUUCGUGGUGUAGCGGUGAAAUGCUUAGAUAUCACGAAGAACCCCGAUUGCGAAGGCAGCUUACUAAGCUGUGACUGACAUUGAUGCUCGAAAGUGUGGGUAUCAAACAGGAUUAGAUACCCUAGUAGUC
rnacentral:rRNA from 1 species